CCUUAGAGUUUGAUCCUGGCUCAGGACGAACGCUGGCGGCGCGCCUAACACAUGCAAGUCGAACGAGAGAUGAGGAGCUUGCUCUUCAAAUCGAGUGGCGAACGGGUGAGUAACGCGUGAGGAACCUGCCUCAAAGAGGGGGACAACAGUUGGAAACGACUGCUAAUACCGCAUAAGCCCACAGCUCGGCAUCGAGCAGAGGGAAAAGGAGCAAUCCGCUUUGAGAUGGCCUCGCGUCCGAUUAGCUAGUUGGUGAGGUAACGGCCCACCAAGGCGACGAUCGGUAGCCGGACUGAGAGGCUGAACGGCCACAUUGGGACUGAGACACGGCCCAGACUCCUACGGGAGGCAGCAGUGGGGAAUAUUGCACAAUGGGGGAAACCCUGAUGCAGCGACGCCGCGUGGAGGAAGAAGGUCUUCGGAUUGUAAACUCCUGUUGUUGAGGAAGAUAAUGACGGUACUCAACAAGGAAGUGACGGCUAACUACGUGCCAGCAGCCGCGGUAAAACGUAGGUCACAAGCGUUGUCCGGAAUUACUGGGUGUAAAGGGAGCGCAGGCGGGAGAACAAGUUGGAAGUGAAAUCCAUGGGCUCAACCCAUGAACUGCUUUCAAAACUGUUUUUCUUGAGUAGUGCAGAGGUAGGCGGAAUUCCCGGUGUAGCGGUGGAAUGCGUAGAUAUCGGGAGGAACACCAGUGGCGAAGGCGGCCUACUGGGCACCAACUGACGCUGAGGCUCGAAAGUGUGGGUAGCAAACAGGAUUAGAUACCCUGGUAGUCCACACCGUAAACGAUGAUUACUAGGUGUUGGAGGAUUGACCCCUUCAGUGCCGCAGUUAACACAAUAAGUAAUCCACCUGGGGAGUACGACCGCAAGGUUGAAACUCAAAGGAAUUGACGGA
rnacentral:rRNA from 1 species